rnacentral:rRNA from 1 species
GAUGAACGCUGGCGGCGUGCCUAAUACAUGCAAGUCGAGCGAAGCGGGGACGGGUGAGUAACACGUGCAUGACCUUCUAUCAGACUGGGAACACUUCCGGUAACCGCAGCUAAACCGGAUCCUUUAUGAUGGAUUCGCGUUGCAUUAGCUAGUUGGUGAGGUCACGGCUUACCAAGGCAACGACACCUAGCCGACCUGAGAGGGGGAGCGGCCACACUGGAACUGAGACACGGUCCAGACUCCUACGGGAGGCAGCAGUAGGGAAUCUUCCGCAAUGGGCGAAAGCCUGACGGAGCAACGCCGCGUGAGUGAAGAAGGUCUUCGGAUCGUAAAACUCUUUUAUUGGGGAAGCGGUACCUGAUCAGAAAGCCACGGCUAACUACGUGCCAGCAGCCGCGGUAAUAC